rnacentral:rRNA from 1 species
CAGCAGCCGCGGUAACACGUAGGUCCCGAGCGUUGUCCGGAUUUAUUGGGCGUAAAGGGAGCGCAGGCGGUUUAGUAAGUCUGAAGUUAAAGGCAUUGGCUCAACCAAUGUAUGCUUUGGAAACUGUUAGACUUGAGUGCAGAAGGGGAGAGUGGAAUUCCAUGUGUAGCGGUGAAAUGCGUAGAUAUAUGGAGGAACACCGGUGGCGAAAGCGGCUCUCUGGCCUGUCACUGACGCUGAGGCUCGAAAGCGUGGGUAGCGAACAGGAUUAGAUACCCCGGUAGUCCCUGUCUCUUAUACA